GAAGGGUAGCGAGCCCCUCUAACAUCAACCUGAACCAAGAGGUCAUAAUCCCCUUGGACAGUCCCUACGAUUCGACUGAUUAUAUUUACAUAAAUAACUGAGUCGAUGGGCCUGAAGUUGACCAUUGGGAACACUUCAACCCCACAAAUACACAGCAUGUGUAUUCCCCAUAGACGAACUCCCACCACAGCUGUAUUCGUAUACAAGACAGCUGCUGCCAGAUGAUAGUUAGACAUAUAUUUGGGCGUUACUAUCACUCAUACUAUAGCUGGAUAGUCAGGGAGGCCAGAAAAAACCUGGAAUAUACAGGAAACCUGGAUGGGGCCAAGACAACCAGCAGCUUCCCCACAAAGCUUCUAUCUUACAAUUUUUUAAUUGGAGGGUUGGUAACACGACAAACAAAGCUCACUAUCGAGGCACAUUUUAUUUAUUUUUAUUUAUUUAUUUUUUAUUUUUUUUUUAUUUUUAAUAUAUACCAUGAUAUGUCAAUUCCAGCGUUCAUAAACUCUUUUCUGUCACAUUGUCUCAGUUCAUGAAUACGUUUUGCACAACAUUUAUUUGUUAACCACACUUAUUUUAUUUCAAUUAUGAUCGGUGGAACUUUCUCGAAUUAUGUGACAUUACUCUCAGAAAAAUAGCUUAUUCAUUACUUUAAUUCAAAAUAGCAAGACCAAAAUUUUGCGAUCGAACAUCCAAUCAUCAGUCAUGCAUGCAUGAUAUUAGCAGAAAGAAAUUGUAAGAAUAUGUAUUUGGUAGUCAAAAUAGAUUAUAUGCAGUAAAUAAUAGUACAUUAAAGGAUUUUCAAUUUUCAUAAGCGUAGGCAUACAUGGUAUCGUACCAAUCUUUCCUGAUAUCCAUCUUGCCGAUUUAUCGCAAAUGUACCUAAACGUAUAUCAUGUGCAGAGUUUUAAGUCUCAAAUUUCGUUCACAAAUGAGCUUGCUUUCUUAAGUUUUGAACAGUAAAGUAUUGAAAAUGUAUGCAGGUCAAAUUAAUUUUGUGAAAUAGCUAAAAAAGAAGUUUUAUAAUUCUACUUUUGAGCGAUUGAAUACAGUUUAAUGUAAGGCCUGAUUGAAACCCAAUCCAACGCCAAAUCUGAGGCGUAAUCUGAAGCCUUAAACUGCGGCUAACCUCAAGGUAGUAAUAAAAUUGUCAUUGGAAUUUUUUAUCGACAAAUAUAAAUACACCAGAAUGUUGUUAUAAAAUAGACGAAUUUUAAUACAUUUUGGUUGGUUUGAGAUGCGGAAUACGAAACAAACGUGUCAAUGCACCGCAUACUUACGCGCCGAAUACCGCUUCACUUUAGGAAGCAUGUGCAUUGAGACAUGGAAUGAUAUCAAUUGAACGCUUGUUGAUUUCGUGUUUAGCGGCUUUAGCCUAUCGAUCUUGUUGUUAUUCCCCCAGUGGCGGUUUCAUUUAAUGGUAAUAACUUCGUCGGGACUUGGGCCAACGUAUUCCUUUGUCCACCAGAAGAGUAAAAGCGCUUGUCCGGUAGAGUUCUAUUUGAAUAAACUGCGUCUCACUGAAUUAUCAUACUGAGUUACUGACCAAAUUUUCUUUAAUAUAACCAUGAUAUGUCAAUUCCAGCGUUCAUAAACUCUUUUCUGUCACAUUGUCUCAGUUCAUUCGAUGUCCGUAAUUCUUUGCAGCCCCGCACCAAGUCAAAUUUUCAAAUUUUCUUUCUCGGUAACAAGACAUUGCUCUUUGUUGGGAUAUUUGUCAAAGUGAACUCCCUUAUCACAUUGACCUUUGUUCUGCGUGUUCGUUGUUGACAUAUGAUUGGUCAGUUGAUCUUUCAUUCGGUUUACACAUGCCCAGAGAAACAUUUGAACUUUGGACUAUUGGAUAUCGCCUUUUUGUGGCUGUUGACAAGCUUAUCAUGUUACUAUGAGAUUAUAACCAGGUUUGAAGGUGACAAACGUGUUGUCUCAUUAACUUGAAUUUAUAUAUUGUUAUAUAUAAAUUUGCUUUAAUACUUC